GGUUGACCUCGGAUCAGGUAGGGAUACCCGCUGAACUUAAGCAUAUCAAUAAGCGGAGGAAAAGAAACCAACAGGGAUUGCCUCAGUAACGGCGAGUGAAGCGGCAAGAGCUCAAAUUUGAAAGCUGGCUCCUUCGGGGUCCGCAUUGUAAUUUGCAGAGGAUGCUUCGGGAGCGGUCCCCAUCUAAGUGCCCUGGAACGGGCCGUCAUAGAGGGUGAGAAUCCCGUCU
rnacentral:rRNA from 1 species